CCUGCAUAAAAGAUGAGAUAAAGAAAAUGUUAUACUACAGAACAGAGCCUAUCAAAGUAAAAUACAGGUAAUAACCAUUUGUUCUAUGAUCAAAGUUACAAUGUCACUGGACAAAUGGUACUUUCACCUGGAACUUGAAGUUAUGGUGUUGCAAGGGCUCUGCGAUCACAUGAUCAAAAUCUAGGUGCUUGGUAACCUACCCGCAUUUAUAACUGCGGGGUGCAUUUCAAUUUCCCCAAGUCCACCUAUUUCCCCCCCAUUUCUACCCUUAUACCUGCCCUGCACUUCACCGUCCCUGCCUCCCUGUGCUCUGCUGUUCCCAGCUGACCUUUGCCAUCUUCCUUCACUGUUGAUGAGGUGUGCCGGUCUGGCCCUUUGUGAGGCAGGUGCUGGCCACGUGAUGCCUUUUUCCUAAGGCCACAUGCAGCCUUCCUGAAGUCACAUAUAGCCAGCAUCUGCCUUGUGAUGGGAGGAAGAAGACAGCAAAAUUUGCAACUGGCAUUAAUAUAGCACCUUGAUGAAAUAUUUUAAAGGAGAAAACAGUUUUAUAAAAUUGAAGCAAAUAUUUACAUCCACCAGAAGAUCUGGAUCUAUGCUGAACUGCCGUCCUGACAGCAUGGCCUGAAAGUCCUCUAAACUGCAAUCAAUGCUCUCAAGGUAAUCCAGGAGUUCCACCCUGAAGGAAAAAGAAUAUCCUCUAGUUUUUUUGAGCAGUAACUUGUUCCCUGCUUGUCACUUUGGACUUCUAAAAUAAAAUCAAGAAAAAUACA